UACGUAGGGUGCGAGCGUUAAUCGGAAUUACUGGGCGUAAAGCGUGCGCAGGCGGUUCGUCGUGUCUGGUGUGAAAGCCCCGGGCUUAACCUGGGAAUUGCAUUGGAAACUGGCGGACUCGAGUGUGGCAGAGGGGGGUGGAAUUCCGCGUGUAGCAGUGAAAUGCGUAGAGAUGCGGAGGAACACCGAUGGCGAAGGCAGCCCCCUGGGCUGACACUGACGCUCAGGCACGAAAGCGUGGGGAGCAAACAGG
rnacentral:rRNA from 1 species